rnacentral:rRNA from 1 species
GAGAGAGACAUGCGCGCAUAUCAAUAAGCGGAGGAAAAGAAACUAACUAGGAUUCCCUCAGUAACGGCGAGUGAAGCGGGAAGAGCUCAAAUUUGAAAUCUUCAAGGGUUCUACCUUUACGAAUUGUAGUUUAAAGAAGUGUUUUCUGUUGAGGUUUUGGUAAAAGUUCUUUGGAAUAGGACAUUAUAGAGGGUGAGAAUCCCGUAUUUGACCAUUACUUUCCAACUUUGUGAUACACUUUCAAAGAGUCGGAUUGUUUGGGAAUGCAGUCCAAAAUGGGUGGUAAAUUUCAUCUAAAGCUAAAUACUGGCGAGAGACCGAUAGCGAACAAGUACCGUGAGGGAAAGAUGAAAAGAACUUUGAAAAGAGAGUUAAACAGUACGUGAAAUUGUCAAAAGGGAAGCGUUUGACACCAGUGUUGUUUUCUCGAAAAUCAAUUAAAAAAGGCAGGAUUUUGUGUUGUAUUGACUUUAUCAGCUUUCUGCACUCUUUUCUUGUCUUUUUUAAUGCACUUUUCGUUUAACAAGUCAACAUCAAUUUCUUUUGUUGUAAAAGGGUCAUUGGAAGGUGGCUUUCUUUUCGGAGAAAGUGUUUAUAGCCUUUGGCCUCUGCAAUCGGAGAGAUUGAGGUCUGCAGCGUAGAUCCUUCGGGGUUAGAUACAUUUGUGCUAAGUUAUAGCCUUUCAUAGACAACUUGUUGACUAUGAUCAGUCAUGUAGCUUACUCGCUUAUGCUAUUUUACCUACGCUUAGGAUGUUGAUGUGAUACUGCGAGCA